CUAGCGACGCUUCGGGUGCAGCCCCUCGCGAUUGAUGAAAGCAUCUCCAAUGAGUAUUUCGCAUUGGAUUAGUUCUCAUCGAUGUCGAUGCGCUGUAUCAGCAACAACAACAACAUG
rnacentral:precursor_RNA from 15 species